rnacentral:lncRNA from 1 species
GGGCUUGCUCUGUUGCUCAGGAUGGAGUGCCGUGGUGUGACCUUGGCUCACUGAAGCCUCGAACUAACUCCUGGGCUCAAGUGAUUCCCCUGCCUCAGCCUGCAGAGUAGCUGGGACCAUGGAAACGCUCCCGGCUCAGGGCGCCCUGCGUCCCUGGCGCCACCUGGUGUUCCCGCGGCGCCAGCGCAGCCUCUGAGGCCGUCCCGCUCCUUCCACCCGAGCGCGAGGGAGACUCCGGGGCCACCCGCCACAGCCAUAGCUUCUGGGAGCCGGUGGCAAGGCCGAAUUGGGAUGCAGACCAAAUGCACGUGGGUGAUUGGCAGAAAAAGCCUCCCACAGAUGGAGGGAUUUCGGAGGGAACCGAAAAAAAAAAAAGUUGGACUGCUGAGGUCCACUCCAGGCCCUGCUUGCCUGGGGAACUCCUGUAGCAGCUGCGGAACCAUGAGGAUUGCUACCAGAUUCUUCUUCUGCUAUCUUUGUCCCAGAAUGAUGCCCACCAAAUGUCAGUCUGAUCUCUUAACAUGGUGCCUUCACCCUUCAGCCCAAUCAGUGUUCACAAAACUGACCAGAUGAUGGGAAUUCCUCCUCCUUGAGCAACUGAAGAUGAGGGUGAAGAGAAAGAAAGAAGUCUUGAAUGUUUUCCUUUCAAGGCAACAUAUUACUUACUUAAUAUUAGAAUUAACCAAUAAAAAACCCUCAUAGCAUCUCCUGUGGGUGAGACAUUCCUUGAAGUUGCCAUAUCGGGACUGAAGGCAAAUAACAAAUAUCUAAUGGUGUAACAGGCCAGAGUUUUUACUAUCCUAAUGAAAUCUGCAUAUUUUCAAAAUUGAAUCUGCUUGACUCAACCCACUAGAGCUUGCAAGUAACAACAAUGACAUAAUGAUGAUGCCGACAACAAUGGGUCUUGCUGAUUAAGUGCUUACUAUUACCCGUCACAGUACUAACUGCAACGCACUGCUCAAUUCUCACAACAAAUUAGAGGAUGGGAUGUUAUUUCUCUCCGUUUUGUAGGUAAGCUGACAGAUUCAGAGAAGUAAAGUGGCUUACCUAAAGACUCAUAGUAAGUAACAGCCCCAAGGCCAGUUCUGCCUGGACUCACAGUCCCAGUUUCUUCUUUUGACUCCUUGAUGAAAGCAUCAUUUUGAGGAAAAGCAACAUUUUCCUAAGUUUACCUAAAAAAAGCUUUGCAUUUGAAACUUCCAUAAUAAUAAUUUUAAUAAUAUGCAUAAAAACAUACUCAUCCUAGUACUUGAUAAUGCACAUACUUACCACGUGUUAGAUGCCGUUCUAAGCACUUUACAUAUUUCUAUUCACUGAACCCUCGUUAACAGCACUGUGAAACAGGUACUAUUACUAUUCCCAUUCUUCAGAUGAAGCCACUGAAGCACAAGGUUAAGUAACUUGAACUUUUAUGCCUAAUAAAUGGAGUCUAGUUUGAAUUGUUCAAACUGUCUGAAUAAUUAGACAUACUGACAAUUAUAGCUAUCCGAUGCAUAAAUAAACAAAACUCAUUUAAUUAUGCCUCAAGAUAUUGCACUUUUUACAGAUUAAAGGUUUGUGGCAACCCUGGGUUGAGCAAGUCUAUCAGUGCCACUUUCCCAACAGCAUGUACUUGCUUUGUGUCUUCGUGUUACAUUUGGAUAAUUCUCUUAAUAAUUCAAACAUUUCCAUUAUUAUUAUAUCUGUUAUGGUGAUCUGUGACCAGUGAUCCUUGAUGUUACCAUUGCAAUGGUUUUAGGGCUCCAUAAACUGUGCCCAGAUAAGAUGAAGAUCUUUGAUAAGUGAGUGUGUCCCGACAGCUCCACCAACCAGCCAUUUCCCUGUCUCUCUUCUCCGUGGGCCUCUCUAUUCCCUGAGACACAACAAUAUUGAAAUUAGGCCAAUUAAUAACCCUACAACAAUCUCUAAGUGUUCUAGUGAAAGAAAGUGUCUAGCAUCUCUUACUUUCUUUUUUUUUAAAUAUAUAUUUUACUGCAUUUUAGGUUUUGGGGUACAUGUGAAGAACAUGCAAGAUCAUUGCAUGGAUACACACAUGGCAGUGUGGUUUGCUGCCUUCCUCCUCAUCACCUAUAUCUGGCAUUUCUCCCCAUGUUAUCCCUCCAAAACUCCCCUUCCCCUGCUGUCCCUCCCCUAGUCCCCCCAAGAGACACCAGUGUGUGAUGCUCCAUUCCCUGUGUCCAUGUGUUCUCAUUGUUCAACACCCACCUAUGAGUGAGAACAUGCAGUGUUUGAUUUUCUGUUCUUGUGUCAGUUUGCUGAGAAUGAUGAUUUCCAGGUUCAUCCAUGUCCCUACGAAGGACAUGAACUCAUCAUAUUUUAUGGCUGCAUAGUAUUCUAGGGUGUAUAUGUGCCACAUUUUCCCUGUCCAGUCUAUCAUCGAUGGGCAAUUGGGUUGGUUCCAAGUCUUUGCUAUUGUAAACAGUGCUGCAAUGAACAUUUGUGUGCAUGUGUCCUUAUAAUAGAAUGAUUUAUAGUUCUUUGGAUAUAUACCCAGUAAUGAGAUUGCUGGGUCAAAUGGAAUUUCUAUUUCUAAGUCCUUGAGGAAUCGCCACACUGUCUUCCACAAUGGUUGAACUAAUAAUUUACACUCACACCAACAGUGUAAAAGUGUUCCUAUUUCUCCACAUCCUUUCCAGCAUCUGUUGUCUCCAGAUUUUUUAAUGAUCGCCAUUAUAACUGGUGUGAGAUGAUAUCUCAUUGUAGUUUUGAUUUGCAUUUCUCUAAUAACCAGUGAUGAUGAACAUUUUUUCAUAUGUUUGUUGGCCUCAUAUAUGUCUUCUAUUUUAAAGUGUCUGUUCACAUCCUUCGCCCACUUUUGAAUGGGCUUAUUUGUUUUUUUCUUGUAAAUCUGUUUGAGUUCUUUGUAGCUUCUGGAUAUGUGUUCUUUGUCAGAUGGGUAGAUUGCAAAGAUUUUUUCCCAUUCUGUUGGUUGCUGAUUCACUCUAAUGACUGUUUCUUUUGCUGUGCAGAAGCUCUGGAGUUUGAUUAGGC